UCGCGUAGCGAAAGCGAAUGCUUUGGGGUGGGGUGACUGCGUACCUUUUGUAUAAUGGGUCAGCGACUUAUAUUCUGUAGCAAGGUUAACCGAAUAGGGGAGCCGGAGGGAAACCGAGUCUUAAUUGGGCGUUAAGUUGCAGGGUAUAGACCCGAAACCCGGUGAUCUAGCCAUGGGCAGGUUGAAGGUUGGGUAACACUAACUGGAGGACCGAACCGACUAAUGUUGAAAAAUUAGCGGAUGACCUGUGGCUGGGGGUGAAAGGCCAAUCAAACCGGGAGAUAGCUGGUUCUCCCCGAAAGCUAUUUAGGUAGCGCCUCGUGAAUUCAUCUCCGGGGGUAGAGCACUGUUUCGGCUAGGGGGCCAUCCCGGCUUACCAACCCGAUGCAAACUGCGAAUACCGGAGAAUGUUAUCACGGGAGACACACGGCGGGUGCUAACGUCCGUCGUGAAGAGGGAAACAACCCAGACCGCCAGCUAAGGUCCCAAAGUCAUGGUUAAGUGGGAAACGAUGUGGGAAGGCCCAGACAGCCAGGAUGUUGGCUUAGAAGCAGCCAUCAUUUAAAGAAAGCGUAAUAGCUCACUGGUCGAGUCGGCCUGCGCGGAAGAUGUAACGGGGCUAAACCAUGCACCGAAGCUGCGGCAGCGACACUGUGUGUUGUUGGGUAGGGGAGCGUUCUGUAAGCCUGUGAAGGUGUGUCGUGAGGCAUGCUGGAGGUAUCAGAAGUGCGAAUGCUGACAUAAGUAACGAUAAAGCGGGUGAAAAGCCCGCUCGCCGGAAGACCAAGGGUUCCUGUCCAACGUUAAUCGGGGCAGGGUGAGUCGACCCCUAAGGCGAGGCCGAAAGGCGUAGUCGAUGGGAAACGGGUUAAUAUUCCCGUACUUGGUGUUACUGCGAAGGGGGGACGGAGAAGGCUAUGUUGGCCGGGCGACGGUUGUCCCGGUUUAAGCGUGUAGGUGUGUGUUCCAGGUAAAUCCGGUUCACUUUAACACUGAGGCGUGACGACGAGGCACUACGGUGCUGAAGCAACAAAUGCCCUGCUUCCAGGAAAAGCCUCUAAGCAUCAGGUAACAUCAAAUCGUACCCCAAACCGACACAGGUGGUCAGGUAGAGAAUACCAAGGCGCUUGAGAGAACUCGGGUGAAGGAACUAGGCAAAAUGGUGCCGUAACUUCGGGAGAAGGCACGCUGACACGUAGGUGAAGUGAUUUACUCAUGGAGCUGAAGUCAGUCGAAGAUACCAGCUGGCUGCAACUGUUUAUUAAAAACACAGCACUGUGCAAACACGAAAGUGGACGUAUACGGUGUGACGCCUGCCCGGUGCCGGAAGGUUAAUUGAUGGGGUCAGCGCAAGCGAAGCUCCUGAUCGAAGCCCCGGUAAACGGCGGCCGUAACUAUAACGGUCCUAAGGUAGCGAAAUUCCUUGUCGGGUAAGUUCCGACCUGCACGAAUGGCGUAAUGAUGGCCAGGCUGUCUCCACCCGAGACUCAGUGAAAUUGAACUCGCUGUGAAGAUGCAGUGUACCCGCGGCAAGACGGAAAGACCCCGUGAACCUUUACUAUAGCUUGACACUGAACAUUGAGCCUUGAUGUGUAGGAUAGGUGGGAGGCUUUGAAGUGUGGACGCCAGUCUGCAUGGAGCCGACCUUGAAAUACCACCCUUUAAUGUUUGAUGUUCUAACGUGGACCCGUUACCCGGGUUGCGGACAGUGUCUGGUGGGUAGUUUGACUGGGGCGGUCUCCUCC
rnacentral:rRNA from 1 species